UCCGUAGGCGGUGCGGCAAGUCGGAAGUGAAAUCUCAGGGCUUAACCCUGAGGCUGCUUCCGAAACUGCCGUGCUCGAGUGCGAGAGAGGCGAGUGGAAUUGCAGGUGUAGCGGUGAAAUGCGUAGAUAUCUGCAGGAACAUCCGAGGCGAAAGCGGCUCGCUGGAUCGCAACUGACGCUGAGGGACGAAAGCUAGGGGAGCAAACAGGAUUAGAUACCCUGGUAGUCCUAGUCCUAAACGAUCAGGACUGGGCGUGGGCCUCGUACGGGGCUCGUGCCGCAGCUAACGCGUUAAGUCCUGCGCCUGGGGAGUACGGUCGCAAGGCUGAA
rnacentral:rRNA from 1 species